UACGUAGGUGGCAAGCGUUGUCCGGAUUUACUGGGCGUAAAGGAUGCGUAGGCGGACAUUUUAAGUCAGAUGUGAAAUACCCGAGCUUAACUUGGGUGCUGCAUUUGAAACUGGGUGUCUAGAGUGCAGGAGAGGUAAGUGGAAUUCCUAGUGUAGCGGUGAAAUGCGUAGAGAUUAGGAAGAACACCAGUGGCGAAGGCGACUUACUGGACUGUAACUGACGCUGAGGCAUGAAAGCGUGGGUAGCAAACAGG
rnacentral:rRNA from 1 species